ACUCUCCCAGAAGAGGAAACCCACCCUGGGCACCCGCUCCACCAGCGGGAAACUUAGAGAAGAUAGCUGCCACGGCCACCGUGGGGCCCUGCAACCUCUGGGCUUCGCUGAGGAAACUCAGCUUGGUGCAGGGUGGUGAUUCCAGGUCUCUGCUGACCCCACCUUGGCACCUAGCCCUGGACAGAGCAACUGAAGCCUCCUCUGCAAGGCAGCCCUACCCUGAAGGCCGCUGGAAGGAAGGUAGCUCUCCAGCCAGCUGCCCUCCCAGCAGAGUUUCAGAUUUGGAUCCUGAGGCUGGGAUCCCCAGGACGACACCUGGCUACCUAGGCCCAUGUGGCCAUCACCGAUGUGCCCUUCUGGCUGCUGGCUGCAGUGCUGUUCAGUUACAGGGUG
rnacentral:lncRNA from 1 species